ACAUUAAAAAAAUCCAACAAUAUACUAGUGUGAGAUCUAUUUUCAAAUAAUUGCUGGUUUUUUUUUUUUUUUAUCAAACCCGAUCCCUUACUUUUUUUAAUAAAUUUCCCGUUUCAAAUUUUAAACCCUCCAAACUCACCUUCUGGACUAACCUUUAUAUUAACAAUCCAAUCUCCAUAUUUACAAUUAAACCUUUUAACCUUCCUCCUUUUUUAAUUUCCACUCUGUAUUUUUCUUUUUGAUCUGAAUUCUUUGCUCCUUUAUCUUUAGAAAUUAGAAUUAUAAUUCGAACUGGAACUGGAACUGGAAGUGGAAUUAGAAUUAGAAAUCUUCUUCUUUUUCUUUUUUGUUGUAUAUGAUAAUCCAUAGGGUUUUAUAUUGUUCCCUUAUUGUAUAGGGUUUUGGAUUCUUUUUAAAGUUUUGAUUUAGGCUAUUGCAAUAUUGUAAUUUUUCCACUUUUUUGGUAAUUUGAUUUGCUAAUUUGACUGUAAAUGAAAAUAAGAGUGAUUAUUGAUUUAGGAAUUUAGGGUUUUCGAUUUUCUUAUAUGGAGAAUCCGCGUAGAUCAUUUGAUAGAUCCAGAGAACCUGGUUUGAAAAAACCACGGUUAACUGAAGACCUCACUCCGAACCCUAAUAUCCGGCCUUUUUCUCAACGAGCGAACCCAGUUGGUCCCGCCUCUGGUUUGAGAUCCCGGUCCAAUGAUUCCGACAUCAAUUAUUUGACCCGUGGCGACGGUGGAGCUUACGAACCACAACCAGUGUCACAUCAGCAGCAACACCACCAGCAGCAAGGGUUAGUUAGCCAGUAUAAGAUGGCGUUAGCUGAGCUCACUUUUAACUCGAAACCAAUUAUUACUAACUUGACGAUAAUCGCUGGCGAGAAUGUUCAUAACGCCAAGGCCAUUGCUGCUACUGUCUGCUCUAAUAUUCUUGAGGUUCCCAGUGAUCAAAAGCUGCCAUCACUCUAUCUUUUAGAUAGUAUUGUAAAGAAUAUUGGGAGAGACUACAUUAAAUGUUUUGCUGCCAGAUUACCGGAGGUGUUCUGCAAAGCAUAUAAACAAGUUAAUCCUCCCUUGCAUCAGAGUAUGCGACAUCUUUUUGGAACUUGGAAAGGGGUUUUCCCUGUUCAGACUCUCCAGGUGAUUGAAAAGGAACUUGGCUUCACUCCUUUGGUAAAUGGUUCAUCUUCAGGAAACACAACAUCCAGAACAGAUACACUAUCACAGGGUCCACCACAAAGUAUUCAUGUAAACCCAAAGUAUCUAGAAAAGCAGCGUCUUCAACAAUCAAGCAGGGUGAAUUUGGCAAAAGGUAUGGUCAAUGAUAUGGCUGGGACUUUGGCCAACUCAAAGGAGGAGUCUGAGAAGUGUUUUAAAAUUCCUGGCAUAGAAGUUAGAAGAACCAGGGGGAAUGUUACUGAUCAGGGGCUUGAUGCGCCUUGGUUUAGAGCUACAAGCAGUGUUACUGAGACUAUUCCCAGCCAGAGGAAUGGUUUCAACGUUAAGCAUGGAUCUCAAAAUUACUCCGUAUCCAAAUCUGUGAAUGCUGAUCCUCGUUUACACCAAACUCUCAAUAUUUCUGGUAGAAACAGCGGUGGGUUGUCUAGCAGCUGGAAAAACUCUGAGGAGGAGGAGUUUAUGUGGGAGAUGCACUCUAGGUUGUCUGAACAUGAUGCAGCCAACUUCUCUAAUAACUUGAGUAAAGAUUGUUGGACUCCUGUUGUUUCAGAAAAAAUGGAUUUUGAAAGUCAGCUCCACAGACCUCAAAGCAUUCAUGAUGCAGGGUCAAGGUUUGUUAGAGAGACUUCUGCUGAUGCAUUAUCCACUGAGCAGAAGGACAAACUUUCUUUUGGGCGUCAGAUUUCUACUUCAUGGACAGAUGGUUUGCCUGCUAUUAGUUCAAGCCGUUCUGAGAGCUAUUCUGCUAGUCUUGGCGGGUUGCCUACCGGUGCAAGUUCUUCCCUGGCCAGGAUAGGAAUGCGACCACAAACAAGUUCAUCCCAUUUGGGAACCCCAGGCUUUGGGUUUUUGGCAAAUGUGGCGUCAGGACCCAGAGGUACUUCUGGAAAGCAGUGUUUCCAGUCUGUAGGAACUGCAUCACCUCCUGAACAGUCUCCUAUGCGCCAGCAUUCACCUUCACCUUCAUUUCCUGCAUGCCACUCCCAUCAACAGCUACAGAAAUUGGCUGAUCCAGAUUAUCAGCAAGCUCUUUCCCUGCCUCGGGCUGAUCCCAAACCAUCUAUUUUUUCAGGAAAGUUGAAUGUUGGGUCUCAUAGAGACUCUCCUCAGACUUCUGCCCCGAUUUCUUUGCAUCCUAGCCGUCAUUAUCACCUUUCACAGCCACCCCUACUAGACUCCGUGCAGGCUGAACCUUCUGUUCUGUCUCAGAUCUCCAAAGUAGAAGCAGCCUCAGCACUUGGAAGUGCAUUGGAGUGUUCUAAUCCACUUGCUAUUGAAACUUCAGAACUUUCAAGUACUAGUAGUCUAUUAGCUGCUGUAAUGAAGAGUGGAAUUCUCUCCAGCACUUCAUUUACUGGCAACUUUCCAACUAAGAUUUCUAAAGAUGUUGGGCGAACUUCACAGCCUCCUCUCCCAAAUUGUCCUCCUGCUGUUUUCACAACCUCAGGCUUGAUUGAUCCUGCAAUUUCAUCAGAUGCAACUCAUGAUGCGAUAGCAGGUGCUCCGAAUAGUUCCCAGGAAAAAAUAGAACAGCUGCCACUGUCUCCUGGACCACCACCUUCAUCUCUUGUUAGUAAUGCCCCAUCGCAAACUUUUGAUGUUGAAUGCAAGGAUACAAAUUCAAUAUCUAGCCUCCUGAGCUCAUUAGUUGCAAAAGGUUUGAUAUCUGCAUCAAAGAAGGAUGCUGCAUCUCUCCCAUCUCUUCUGAUGCCCAACCAAGUACAGAAGAGCCCAGGAGUCGAGAGUCCAAGUGAAUCACUGAACAAGAGUUCGGACAUUCAGAGUUCAUCUGAUGCUCCUCGAUCCUCCACAAUGGAUGAGGUAUCAUAUGCUGAACCUGCUCCAAAAUGUUCAGUUGCCCCACAUCAGUCCACCUCAACAGAAGUAGAAAGCUUGAUAGGAUUAGAACUCAGGCCAGAUGUAAUCAGAGAAUUUCAUUCAUCUGUGAUCGGUGGAUUGUUGGAUGACCUUCCACAUUGUUGCAGCUUAUGUGGUCUUCGACUUAAGUUUCAGGGACAGCUUGAUAGACACUUAGAGUGGCAUGAAAUGAAAAAGACUGCAUUAAGAGGUUCUGGUAGGGCAUUGAGGGGAUGGUAUGCGAGGUCAGAUGAUUGGCUUGCUGGAAAGCCUGGGCAAUUGGUCUUGGAUUCCACUGAGUCUCUGAACAAGUUGGAAAAGACAACAGAAAUGUCUGAGCUUAUGGUUCCUGCAGAUGAAAAUCAGUGUGCAUGCUUGUUAUGCGGCGAGCUAUUUGAAGAUUAUUUUAGGCUGGACAGUGGUGAAUGGAUGUUUAAGGGAGCAGCAUACUUGGCUAUCCCAUCAAACGAGGGUGGGGUGGGAACUACUGAUGGGAGUGCAGCCAAUGGCCCCAUUGUGCAUGCAAAUUGCCUGUCAGAAAGUUCAGUUCAGGACUUGGGACUGUCUGGUGGUAUUAAAGUGGUAAAGUACUUGGAUUUGAAUACGAUAUACCAUUCUUCUGAGUUAGUUCUGCUUUAUUCAGGUUGUUUUCCCAAUGUUUGUCAUCUGAUCAUCACUCUUGACUUCUUGUUAGGAAAUGGAGGAAUAAUGCUGUAAGGAAAUGGAGGAAUAAUGCUGUAAGGUGAAUGAAUGAAGCUAUCAGUUGCAGGGCCAUCAGUAGAGCCCUGACCAAAGAAUCCAGAUCAAGAAAUACCGAAUCCGAACCUAGACCUGGGGAAAGCCAAGCAAAUCAACUAAGUCGACUAGUCGCCACAUUUUGUAAUCCGAGAUCAAGAAUGGAGGAAUUUGGACUUAGAUCGAGAAAAGUCGAAGGUUAUCGAGUAGAUAGUCUGAAUCGACAUAUUCCGAGUACGAGUUAUUGUAGCUACUGAAGGCUCGGGGAUAGUCGAGGAUCGUCACCACACUAUCGAUCUCAUUUUGGUACUUUUGAAAAUGUAAAUAUUUGAAGUAUGGCAUGUAUAGGCUAGUAGUUGUGAAGUAUGUUUUGUGAUGUAUAUAGUUAGCUAUGAGAUUUGGCUAAUUUGUGUUUGAACUCAUAUUUGAUAAUGGCUUAUGAUAUGUGAUGUUAAUUUGCAA